GGGGCCAGACAAGUUGUUGAAACAAAGUCUCAAGUAUUGGAUAUUUACGUAUUUCACGAAAGAAUUGAAAUUGAACAAUUGAAUUUACAUAGGUGCUUAUGAAAGGGUUUCGGAAAUUUAAUGUCUUCUGUACAUCCAACAAGUCAGCAGUACGGCCCAACAGAUAGAAGGCAUCUCAGUAGCAAGAUAUGGAUUAUCACUGUGAUAUAAAAGGAUCAAACCCACCAUGUCCAUCAGGAGCGACCUCUUCUCAGCCGAUAUCAAAACCAGUUGCAGCAGCCAAUGAAAGGAUGCCAUAAAAUCAACAAAAACUAGAUUGAAGACGUAUUUGUACUAUACUGUAAUGAACACUGUGAUUUACAUGGAGGAACCAGGGUUUCUGGAAACACAAUCUAAAAUUAAAGUCUCAUAAAACACCUAAGAACUUUUCUCAUUGUUAGACCUAAACCAACAAAACCAGACUCGGAAUGUCAGCACAAACCGACCUUAAACAAAAAAUACCAAUUAUCUUAUUGUGUAAUAAAUCGAAAUGUAAAAACAAAGACCAAAUUCUGGAAAAAUAAAAAUAUUAACGUGUUGUAAAUAAACGUUCUUAACAUAAA